AUGCUGGAUGAGGAGGACACUGACAAAGACGGGAUGAGUUUGGAGGUCGACACUCCAGUGACGAACCAUCGGGGUGACGACGACGAUGACGAAGAAGAUCUCCCCGAGAUAGUGCUGGAUGACGUGCCUGCGGUGAGGGUGGCGGGACGGCCUCCAUUCGCUCCGCGGGUGGCCUUCAUGGUGAACAAAACACAUGACCCCGAGUACCCGAGGCGGAAGGUGUCCGGCAUCAGUGCUCAGAAAGUUGUUCCACCUUCCACCAAGAUGCUGGAUGAGGAGGACACUGACAAAGACGGGAUGAGUUUGGAGGUCGACACUCCAGUGACGAACCAUCGGGGUGACGACGACGAUGACGAAGAAGAUCUCCCCGAGAUAGUGCUGGAUGACGUGCCUGCGGUGAGGGUGGCGGGACGGCCUCCAUUCGCUCCGCGGGUAAGUUGGGUUUUUAGUCUGAGCUCGCAGUGUUGCUCUAUUUCCCCUCCGUGGACAUUAAGUUAUGACAGCCUGAGCCUGCACGUUCCAGACCAUGUGGACGGUUCCGAGGGUUGGGACUCCAUGUCAGGCGCGUCUGUUGCCAACUCCCGAUGCCUGCUUCCGCAGGGCAAUGCGAUAACAACACCUGUCCCAGCCUGCAGAGGACAGAGCUCCUUCUCCAGAAGCAUCUUUUCCUCGAGGGAAAGAGUUCUGUCAUCUCCAACUGACAUGGCCUUGGACAUCCCGUCGUCUAGGACAAGUUCUUGCCUUUGUCCCCGAGGAGGGUUUGCUCUGCCUUUGCUGGGUUCUCUGGACUCCACCGCUGUUGUGCAUCGGGGUUUCUGCUGUCACCAAGUGAAGGAAAGACCUGUGCAAAUAGGUGGCCUUGUGGUCUGAUCCUCAUGGCACUUUCUCCUCUUGUCAUUGCAGGUGGCCUUCAUGGUGAACAAAACACGUAUGUAUGCUGGAAGCACUCAUCUGGGGGAGGGGCCCCUUAGAAGGUGAGGCAGGUGGCGCAGUCUUGCUGGGUUUAUUUAUUUGUUUUUAAUUGUUGUUUCCCCAGGGCAGGUUUUGUUUUUUUCCCCUUUCUUCCGGCCGUAGGGCAUGGUGACCCGGUUACACAUACAUGCACACGUUCUAUUUUCGCACAUUAUCAUGCUCCAUCAUAAGUGACUGGACAUAGCUCCCCAGGGCUACACAGCAGGCUCUCACUGCCCAUCCAUUCCAAAGGCAAGAGUUUGUAUCUAUUAACCCCAAGCUCCCCAGCCGCCCCAGUCCCUCCCCCUCCCCCUCCCCUCUCCCCCUUGGCAACCACAAGUCUCUUCUCCAAGUCCAUGAUUUUCUUUUCUGUGGAAAGGUUCAUCUGUGCCUCAUGUUAGACGCCAGAUACAUUCUUGCUGGUUUUGGUGUGGAGGGCCGGAGUGUUUGCAGUUUUGUCCUUGGAGUUAGGGUAGCAGGUUUGCUGAUGGAAAGUGACUUACAGGUAAAGUCACGGGGCCAGGUACUGUAGUCCCAGGAACAAGCCGUGUUACCAUUAGUCGAUGGAGGUUUGUGUGCAAGGGACUAGGGGGUGUGUAUGGGAAACGGCUGGUAGGAUUCUGAGUGUGUCAAAAUCCUGAGCCUUCCUCUGACCCUCCUCCCAGAUGACCCCGAGUACCCGAGGCGGAAGGUGUCCGGCAUCAGUGCUCAGAAAGUUGUUCCACCUUCCACCAAGGUAAGGGCUUUUCACUUCUCUGAGGAAAAAGAAAAAGCAAAAAAAAAAAAAAACAAAAUAUAUAUAUAUAUGGCUUCAUUCCCUAGCUUUUCAAUCAAAUUCAACUCUGAAAGUCCAAAUCCGUGGAUACUUAGGGUUUUCCUGGGUUGGGUGACUGUUGACUGAUUGUCUGUCCCAGUGAAUGACUGAUUUAAAAAAGGACCUUUAAAAGCGGACAGCAGUAGUUUUGUAUGUGUAAGUGUGGUCGGGAGCAUGGUUAGUAGCAGAGACUCGCCCUCCUUGAAGGAGACUUUGGCAGCUGUGGGUCAGAGUGCACGUAAGAGUUUUUCCAGGAAAAUUCGAAGGCUUUCUCCAAGAUGACCUCUGUGUUUUUCCUUUGGGACCUGGGACUAAAGGAAUUUUACAUUUGGGUUUUCUGUGGACAGACAGACAAUGAAAAACCUUUGAGUCUGUAGAGCGCGGGAGGCUUAGAUGCUGUCACUAAGAAUGUGCUUUUCUCUAGAUGCUGGAUGAGGAGGACACUGACAAAGACGGGAUGAGUUUGGAGGUCGACACUCCAGUGACGAACCAUCGGGGUGACGACGACGAUGACGAAGAAGGUGGGUCUUCCUUGCUGGCAUUGGUUGGGGAGGCACCAGAUCCGGGGUUCCUUUUGGGAAAGAGGGUUGCUCCCAGCUCAUUCCCAGCCAUAGUGAUGCCCAAGGUGUACACGCCCUGGACACAAGUCUGCCCUGUAGAUGGUGCUUUGUGGCAAGAUAGGAGGCCCGGGAAGCGAGGUCCACACGUGAGCACGUGUGGUGUGAGCGUGUGGUUCCCCAGAACCUCUUGCCUGUUUCCGCCGCAGAGAGACGCGUCAGCUUCGUGGAGGACAAAGGCCACCCCCUCUGCAGAGCUUCUCUGCGUUCAUGCAUUCUCCCUUGACCACCGCUGCUCCCAAGUUGGCUCAAUGUCCCCGUUGCUCAGGUGGAGAGGGUGCCGAGCCAGGUGGCCCAAGCCCUUGACCUCCUACGUGGAAAAGCCAAAGGGGGACCCAGGCCGGGUUCCCCAUGGGGUUGCUCUGGACCCCUGACCUGUGCCUCUCCCUCAGCAGGGAGUCCUCAGUCAUGGAGCCCUGAGGGGCGAGGGCCCCUGUCCCCCGUCCAUGGUUGGGUGUAGCAGGGACUCCAGAGGUCCUGUAACACCUGCCCAUCUCUAGAAGGUGGGCGGUCGGCGCUGGUGUCUUUGCUUCAACUUGGCCAAAAGAGAUCGGGCUCGGGGGUGUGUUUUCUCGUGUUGGAUGGUGUCACGUCAAGGCUUCCAACUGACCACCCUAGGUGGCACACACCCGGGGGCUGUUGCACAUAAGAGCUCAGCGUGAAACCCCAUCGUCAGCCUGGUGUCCAGCACCAGGGUACAGAAGCGUCUGCAGCGCUGGGCGAGGAGGAGUCAGUGCUGAGUCUUUGCGUCUCUCCGUGACGAACUGUCCCAACUCGUUGUAAGGCUCCUAUGAGUGUGGGUAGCCUUUCACUCAGGGGACAUGCACGCCUCAUGUGGCACAGGGAGACGGGGGAGAACAAGCAGGAUGUGACUGAACGUGGCUGUUUUUGAGGGUAGGGUUUCCGUAGCGUCACGUCGUCUGUACUUGAUUUUCUUUGCGACAAGUAGGGUGGCAAAUACAGUUACCGGUAUGCUUUCCUGGAAUCGAAAUUAGCCCUCCAGGACAGUUGAAAGUUUUAAUCAACGGCAAUGUCUUAGGGAAGAUGCAGCGAGUGCAGUAAAAACAACGGUGACUCUUGGGGCGCAGAUGAUCUGGGAAGAAGUCCAGCAGACCCUGGCCAUUUAGCAGACAUUUCAGACGGGCAGGAGAUGUCUGGGUCCCUACGCUCCCAAGAGAGCUUGCACUUGCGUGUCAUUGCCCAUCGAUGAGGGUCCCCUUUGCUAGAAAACCACAGCUCUGGUUUCCUGUCUUGCCUGCCCUUCUCCUUUGCGUUCCUUCCUGCACCAAAGGGGCUGGCCCAGCAGCAGCUCAGUGCGCACUUACCAGCCACGCACAUCCAUUCACUGGCUCCCCACGUCGUCCUCAUCAGGAAAAACUCCCAGCGGGAUUCCUGAGCGUCACGCCCAGUGUCCUGACAGUUCCUCUGUGUGCCUCCAGAUCUCCCCGAGAUAGUGCUGGAUGACGUGCCUGCGGUGAGGGUGGCGGGACGGCCUCCAUUCGCUCCGCGGGUAAGUUGGGUUUUUAGUCUGAGCUCGCAGUGUUGCUCUAUUUCCCCUCCGUGGACAUUAAGUUAUGACAGCCUGAGCCUGCACGUUCCAGACCAUGUGGACGGUUCCGAGGGUUGGGACUCCAUGUCAGGCGCGUCUGUUGCCAACUCCCGAUGCCUGCUUCCGCAGGGCAAUGCGAUAACAACACCUGUCCCAGCCUGCAGAGGACAGAGCUCCUUCUCCAGAAGCAUCUUUUUCCUCGAGGGAAAGAGUUCUGUCAUCUCCAAC
rnacentral:lncRNA from 9 species